rnacentral:rRNA from 1 species
CGGGGCUACUGCUCUGUAAUUGGCAUGGGGGCGACCUUCACCCUCGCCCGAGUACCCAUUGGAGGGCAAGUCUGGUGCCAGCAGCCGCGGUAAUUCCAGCUCCAAUAGCGUAUAUUAAACUUGUUGCAGUUAAGAAGCUCGUAGUUGUACUUUAUGUCCCUCGCGUGGUCCUUCCUCGCUAGGACGCCUCGUUACUUUGAGAAAAUUAGAGUGUUUCAAGCAGGUUUCGCCUGUAUAAUUGAGUAUGGAAUAACCUUGUAUGACCCUGUCGUACCGUUGGUUGACUUUGGGUAAUGGUUAAUAGGAACGGUUGGGGGCAUUCGUACUCGACUGUCAGAGGUGAAAUUCUUAGAUUUGUCGAUGACGCACGACUGCGAAAGCAUUUGCCAAGGACGCUUCCAUUAAUCAAGAAC